rnacentral:lncRNA from 1 species
AAGACAUCAAACAGACUACUGUUUCACAUUUGCUUUAAAAGAAAAUGACAUGCUAAUAUCACACAUAGUCAAAAAUAAUCUCACAGUUUGACAUUAAUAACUCGAACGAACUGCAACAAACUUGGAAAAAGUAGACCUACUCCAUUUCAAAAGAUGUGAAAAAUCAUCCCUUGGUAACGUUGCCACCUUGUGUACAAACUGAUUAGUGCUGAAUUAAUCCAUGAUGCCUGUGUGACUGUAAUGCUGAAGAUGUCUUCUGAUAGUUUAAAUAUAUCAAUUUAC